GAUGAACGCUGGCGGCGUGCCUAAUACAUGCAAGUCGAGCGAACAGAUGAGGAGCUUGCUCCUCUGACGUUAGCGGCGGACGGGUGAGUAACACGUGGAUAACCUACCUAUAAGACUGGGAUAACUUCGGGAAACCGGAGCUAAUACCGGAUAAUAUAUUGAACCGCAUGAUUCAAUAGUGAAAGACGGUUUUGCUGUCACUUAUAGAUGGAUCCGCGCCGCAUUAGCUAGUUGGUAAGGUAACGGCUUACCACGGCAACGAUGCGUAGCCGACCUGAGAGGGUGAUCGGCCACACUGGAACUGAGACACGGUCCAGACUCCUACGGGAGGCAGCAGUAGGGAAUCUUCCGCAAUGGGCGAAAGCCUGACGGAGCAACGCCGCGUGAGUGAUGAAGGUCUUCGGAUCGUAAAACUCUGUUAUUAGGGAAGAACAAAUGUGUAAGUAACUAUGCACGUCUUGACGGUACCUAAUCAGAAAGCCACGGCUAACUACGUG
rnacentral:rRNA from 1 species